GCCGAGAAAUCUAUAGAUCUAUUGAGUUUCUUGUUUCUUCAUUGUUAUCCAACAACAACCAUUCGAAUUUCUUCAUCUCCUUAAUCUUUUCUCAUUACGUACGUGGUUGCUCUAGCUUUCUUUGUGGUGGCUGCAACGAUGAACAUAGUCGUUCUGCAAUAGUUGUAGACCAUAAAAGGGUAGGAAGAUAUUUUAGUUAAUUCACUGUCUAACCUAUGUUUUCUCAUGUUUCUGUUGUGGAGUUUGUUGCACUGGAGCUACCGAUGCUCUGUAGUCUGUAUUCCUCGGCAAUCCACAAAGGUGUCUUUGUUUUGAGCAUGAAGAUGUUGUCGAGGUCUGGACUCUACGUUGAUUUACGGGAAGGUGGACAGAUGGACGGGCGUCUUACCCUAACAACUUUGCCCAAGGACUCUGCAAAUGUUUCAGGAUGAAUGUAUAUAGGCUGGCGCUGUAAUGGCUUCUAAAAAUCUGUGAGGGUAGUAGAUGAUAGUAAAAAAUAUUUUCAAACACACCUUUAGCAGCUACCAAAGGACUGUACCACUGUCGAAUGUACUCAGGUCUUAACCAUGGUUAUCUGUCCAAAUGCUUAGCAACACCUGCAAAAGUGAGCGUUUGAGACAGAGCGUGUGAGGGUUGGAGGUUGAUGCGCUGUGUUUGUCUGCUUGCUUUCACAGAACUUGAUCAUGGAUCGUCGGCGGUGCUGGUAUUUUUCUUCUUCGCCAUUUAAGUGUUUUGAUAUAUUUGGAGCUUGUGAAUGUCAGAGAUAUUUGAGAGACACAUGUAUGUAAGUAGCUUGUAACUCUGACUAUCUGCUCAUAUGGUAGUAUAUAUUUUCAUUUGGCUUUU